rnacentral:rRNA from 1 species
GUGUGCCUACGGGGGGCAGCAGUGGGGAAUAUUGGGCAAUGGGCGCAAGCCUGACCCAGCAACGCCGCGUGAAGGAAGAAGGCUUUCGGGUUGUAAACUUCUUUUCUCAGGGACGAAGAAAGUGACGGUACCUGAGGAAUAAGCCACGGCUAACUACGUGCCAGCAGCCGCGGUAAUACGUAGGUGGCAAGCGUUAUCCGGAUUUACUGGGUGUAAAGGGCGUGUAGGCGGGACUGCAAGUCAGAUGUGAAAACCA